rnacentral:lncRNA from 1 species
UGGAUGUGAGCCGGAUUUAAAUUUCUAUAUCAGUGUAAUAACUAUAUUCUGUAGAUUGCAUAAUCUUGAGGUAGGCAUGAAGUUGUUUAGGAUGAUGAGAGCUUCUAACGUCUCUCCAGAUUCAGCUACGUAUGCGGCCUUGAUAAACUGUUUGUGUGACCAUCUUCAUUUGGAUGAUGCUACGAAACUUUUUGAAGAGAUGAUAGAUCGUGGCUUGUCGCCUGAGGAAGAAACAUUUUUGGAUAUAGUAAAUGGGUUUUGCAAAUUAAAUAAAUUCACUGAAGCUAUUAUGUUUUUGGAGGAGAAAAAUGUAAUCAACACUUCUCCUUACAAUACACUUCUUGAAGCCUUUUGUGCCACUAGUAAUUUUUCUAUGGCAAAAAGUACAUUUUAUAGAAUGUUUGGGAGGAAUAUAACUGAUGUUACGUCUUGCAAUAUCCUUAUCAGAUUCCUUUGUGAGAAUGCAGCGAUCAGUAAAGCAUUGGAGUUUUUAUGUAGGAUGAUCGUUUCUUUAUUUGUUCCUGACUCUGCUACUUAUUCUGCUCUUAUUACUGGUUACUGCAGAAUGGGGAAGUUUGAGGAUGCUCUGCAGUUGUUUUCCACCGUUAGAUCUAAAUGUUGGGUUUUGGAUUCUGUCUCAUAUGCUGAACUUGUUGAAUGUCUUUGCCAGAGGGAAAACACUCAAGAGGCAGCUAAAGUCUUUUGCUAUAUGUCUAGGAAGGGUUGCGCUCUUCGAUCUACCUCUUUCAAUAAGUUGAUUGAGGAGACUUGUGCAAGUGGAAAGGUCGACAGUGCUGCUAGGUUACUGUCGGUGGCUUACUACUCUGGUACUGUCUGUUUUUGUUCUACUUACAAUUGUAUCAUGCGAGGAUUAUUUAUGUUGGGCCACAUGGAUGAUAUCUUGGUCUUGGUUUCAAAGAUGAUGGUAGUUGGUUGUGCAUUUGAUGAAGAAACUUACUGCAUACUUAUUAAGAGCACGAGUGCUCUCAAUCGAGUAUCUGACUCCAUCUCUUUUUUCAACUUGAUGCUUGAGGAGGGUUUUUUACCUAGUUCUGAUACAUUAGUUUGUUUAUUGCAGUUUUUGGCUAAGUAUUCUCGAGUGCACUUAAUCUUGUCAUCAUUAGAUAAGCUUAAUUCCGAAAUUCUUGAUUCCGUGACUUACAAGCAGUUGAUUAAUGGCCUCUGCGGAGAGGGAUACAAAAGUGAGGCAAAACAAUAUCUGGACUUGAUGUUGGAGAAAGGUUGGGUCCCAGAUGCCGCUACUCAUGCGUUACUGAUGGGUUCUGUCUCGAAAGAAGAAUUUGAGAUCCAAAAAUCUGCUUAUGAAAAUAGUGGCACAUGUGAUGAGGUCAGUAGCAUACUAGCAGAGGGCUUGGUGGAAAGAUGACAGAUUCAUCUUCUUUUACAUUGAUCAGCUUUUGUGCAAUACUUGUCGACCAAGAGCUGGUUGAACUACUAAUUGAAUGUUCUGUUGCUAGAUCCCGUGGGAUAAUGAAUUGAGACAGGGCAUGUUCUCAAGGAAGUUCUUGCUUGCGAACUUCUUUAGUAGGGCGGUUUGGAGGUCCCAUUCCUCACGUUUACCGAGCCUUUGGGGCAGGUUUAUUCAUCUCCUAUAUCUUGUUUGCUUAACGUUUCUGCACAUUGUCGUAAGUUGCUGAGUCCUCUUUAUUUUUCUCCCAGGAAGGAUGCUCGGAAGUUCGAAGCGUUAUUAAAGGAUUACUGUACGUUUUCAGGCGCAAGUGACUACAGAAUUUGACUCGAGUUCCAUUUUCACUUGUACAACCUCAACGUUGGUCCCUGAAAUGUUUUCCUAGCUUCUUAUAAUGUUUCUUAGGGCCUGGCGAGUCAGCACGGGUGGCCGUUGAAUGUCGACCGUGGAGCGUCGACGUAAUAAAAUAUUAAGAGCUCGUUUGAUGUUAUUUUUUGCAAAAAAUGUAUUUUGGAAUAGUGAUUUGAUG